CUCCGGGGAUAACAGGCUGAUCUCCCCCAAGAGUUCAUAUCGACGGGGAGGUUUGGCACCUCGAUGUCGGCUCAUCACAUCCUGGGGCUGGAGAAGGUCCCAAGGGUAUGGCUGUUCGCCAUUUAAAGUGGUACGUGAGCUGGGUUUAGACCGUCGUGAGACAGGUCGGUCCCUAUCUGGUGUGGGCGUAGGAUGAUUGAGGAGACUCUUUCCUAGUACGAGAGGAUUGGAAAGAACGUACCUCUGGUGUGCCAGUUGUCGCGCUAGCGGCACCGCUGGGUAGCUAAGUACGGAAUGGAUAACCGCUGAAUGCAUCUAAGCGGGAAACCAACCUCAAAACUAGACUUCCCUAUCAGAGCCGUGGAAGACCACCACGUUGAUAGGCCAGGUGUGGAAGCAUGGUAACAUGUGAAGCUAACUGGUACUAAUAGCUCGAUUGUUUAUUUUUUUGCUGAUAAGAUUA
rnacentral:rRNA from 1 species